rnacentral:rRNA from 1 species
AUGGCUGCUCCAACGCCGCUCCGUCACGUGGCCAUGCUCCCCUUCAUGGCCAAAGGUCACGCCAUGCCGCUCCUCCACCUUGCGCGCCUCCUCCUCGGCCGCCGCCUCGCCUCCGCCGUCACCUUCUUCACCAACCCACACAACGCGCCCUUCAUCCGCGCCGGGCUCGUCGGCGCCGGCGCUGUCGACAUCGUCGAGCUUCCGUUCCCCUCCGAGGACGCCUUGCAGAGCACGGAUGAGCUCCCGUCCUCGACGCAUCUCGUCGACUUCGUCUCCGCGGUGGAGGCGCUCGGCCCAGCGUUCGCGGACGCGCUCACUGCGCUCGAGCCCAGGCCGGACCUGCUCGUCCACGACGGGUUCAUCGUGUGGGCCAAGGACGUCGCCGACGAGCUCGGCAUACCGCGGCUCGUCACCCUCGGCAUCGGUGGCUUCGCCUCGUACAUCUACGGGGCGGUCAUGACGCACGCGCUCGUGCGCUCGCCAACCGAGCCGUUCCCGGUCCCCGGCUUGCCGGACCUCCGCAUCACCAAAGCCGACCUUAGCCCGCCCUUCGACGACCCGGAGCCUGCCGGCCCGCACUGGGACUUCGUAUGCCAGAGCUGCAGCAGCAUGUACUCCAGCAGCAGCAUCAUCGCCAACUCCUUCAGCGAGCUCGAGUCGAUGUGGGCGAUCAGACCGCUCUGCCUCACGGUCCCCGAACCGGCAGUCCAGAGCAAAGACGACCAUGAGAUCUUGGACUGGCUGGACUCGAGGCUCGCCAUGGACCGGCCGGUCCUCUACGUCGCGUUCGGCUCGCAGGCCGAGCUGAGCCGGGCGCAGCUUGAGGAGAUCGCCGUCGGGUUAGACCACUCCGGCGUAGACUUCCUAUGGGUGGUCCGGUCAAAAUGGUUCGACCCCAAGGAUCGGUUCAGUGACAGGUUUGGGGAUAGGGGCAAGGUAGUGGAAGGUUUCAUCAACCAGCUCCGAGUGCUAAGUCACAAGUCAGUCUCAUAUGUGUACUUACCUCCAAAUGAAGACAACAAAGGAAGUAAUCACCCCAUGUCAUGCUAG